UACGGAGGGUGCGAGCGUUGUCCGGAAUCACUGGGCGUAAAGGGCGCGUAGGCGGCGCGGAUAGUCGGCGGUGAAAGCCCGGAGCUCAACUCCGGGUCGGCCGUCGAUACUUCCGGGCUUGAGCACUGUAGAGGCAGAUGGAAUUCCGGGUGUAGCGGUGGAAUGCGUAGAGAUUCGGAAGAACACCAGUGGCGAAGGCGGCCCGCUGGGCAGUGGCUGACGCUGAGGCGCGACAGCGUGGGGAGCAAACAGG
rnacentral:rRNA from 1 species